CAGCCGCCACGGGAACACGGAGGAUCCAAGCGUUAUCCGGAAUCAUUGGGUUUAAAGGGUCCGUAGGCGGUCUUGUAAGUCAGUGGUGAAAGCCCAUCGCUCAACGGUGGAACGGCCAUUGAUACUGCAGGACUUGAAUUAUUGGGAAGUAACUAGAAUAUGUAGUGUAGCGGUGAAAUGCUUAGAGAUUACAUGGAAUACCAAUUGCGAAGGCAGGUUACUACCAAUUGAUUGACGCUGAUGGACGAAAGCGUGGGUAGCGAACAGGAUUAGAUACCCCAGUAGUCCCUGUCUCUUAUAC
rnacentral:rRNA from 1 species